GGUCAAGUGAAUAAGUGCAUCAGGCGGAUGCCUUGGCGAUGAUAGGCGACGAAGGACGUGUAAGCCUGCGAAAAGCGCGGGGGAGCUGGCAAUAAAGCUAUGAUUCCGCGAUGUCCGAAUGGGGAAACCCACUGCAUUCUGUGCAGUAUCCUAAGUUGAAUACAUAGGCUUAGAGAAGCGAACCCGGAGAACUGAACCAUCUAAGUACCCGGAGGAAAAGAAAUCAACCGAGAUUCCGCAAGUAGUGGCGAGCGAACGCGGAGGAGCCUGUACGUAAUAACUGUCGAGAUAGAAGAACAAGCUGGGAAGCUUGACCAUAGCGGGUGACAGUCCCGUAUUCGAAAUCUCAACAGCGGUACUAAGCGUACGAAAAGUAGGGCGGGACACGUGAAAUCCUGUCUGAAUAUGGGGGGACCAUCCUCCAAGGCUAAAUACUCAUCAUCGACCGAUAGUGAACCAGUACCGUGAGGGAAAGGCGAAAAGAACCCCGGGAGGGGAGUGAAACAGAACCUGAAACCUGAUGCAUACAAACAGUGGGAGCGCCCUAGUGGUGUGACUGCGUACCUUUUGUAUAAUGGGUCAACGACUUACAUUCAGUAGCGAGCUUAACCGGAUAGGGGAGGCGUAGGGAAACCGAGUCUUAAUAGGGCGAUGAGUUGCUGGGUGCAGACCCGAAACCGAGUGAUCUAUCCAUGGCCAGGUUGAAGGUGCCGUAACAGGUACUGGAGGACCGAACCCACGCAUGUUGCAAAAUGCGGGGAUGAGCUGUGGGUAGGGGUGAAAGGCUAAACAAACUCGGAGAUAGCUGGUUCUCCCCGAAAACUAUUUAGGUAGUGCCUCGAGCAAGACACUGAUGGGGGUAAAGCACUGUUAUGGCUAGGGGGUUAUUGCAACUUACCAACCCAUGGCAAACUCAGAAUACCAUCAAGUGGUUCCUCGGGAGACAGACAGCGGGUGCUAACGUCCGUUGUCAAGAGGGAAACAACCCAGACCGCCGGCUAAGGUCCCAAAUGAUAGAUUAAGUGGUAAACGAAGUGGGAAGGCACAGACAGCCAGGAUGUUGGCUUAGAAGCAGCCAUCAUUUAAAGAAAGCGUAAUAGCUCACUGGUCGAGUCGUCCUGCGCGGAAGAUGUAACGGGGCUCAAAUCUAUAACCGAAGCUGCGGAUGCCGGUUUACCGGCAUGGUAGGGGAGCGUUCUGUAGGCUGAUGAAGGUGCAUUGUAAAGUGUGCUGGAGGUAUCAGAAGUGCGAAUGUUGACAUGAGUAGCGAUAAAGCGGGUGAAAAGCCCGCUCGCCGAAAGCCCAAGGUUUCCUACGCAACGUUCAUCGGCGUAGGGUAAGUCGGCCCCUAAGGCGAGGCAGAAAUGCGUAGUCGAUGGGAAACAGGUUAAUAUUCCUGUACUUGAUUCAAAUGCGAUGUGGGGACGGAGAAGGUUAGGUUGGCAAGCUGUUGGAAUAGCUUGUUUAAGCCGGUAGGUGGAAGACUUAGGCAAAUCCGGGUUUUCUUAACACCGAGAAGUGAUGACGAGUGUCUACGGACACGAAGCAACCGAUACCACGCUUCCAGGAAAAGCCACUAAGCUUCAGUUUGAAUCGAACCGUACCGCAAACCGACACAGGUGGGUAGGAUGAGAAUUCUAAGGCGCUUGAGAGAACUCGGGAGAAGGAACUCGGCAAAUUGAUACCGUAACUUCGGGAGAAGGUAUGCCCUCUAAGGUUAAGGACUUGCUCCGUAAGCCCCGGAGGGUCGCAGAGAAUAGGUGGCUGCGACUGUUUAUUAAAAACACAGCACUCUGCCAACACGAAAGUGGACGUAUAGGGUGUGACGCCUGCCCGGUGCCGGAAGGUUAAUUGAAGAUGUGCAAGCAUCGGAUCGAAGCCCCGGUAAACGGCGGCCGUAACUAUAACGGUCCUAAGGUAGCGAAAUUCCUUGUCGGGUAAGUUCCGACCCGCACGAAUGGCGUAACGAUGGCCACACUGUCUCCUCCCGAGACUCAGCGAAGUUGAAGUGGUUGUGAAGAUGCAAUCUACCCGCUGCUAGACGGAAAGACCCCGUGAACCUUUACUGUAGCUUUGCAUUGGACUUUGAAGUCACUUGUGUAGGAUAGGUGGGAGGCUUGGAAGCAGAGACGCCAGUCUCUGUGGAGUCGUCCUUGAAAUACCACCCUGGUGUCUUUGAGGUUCUAACCCAGACCCGUCAUCCGGGUCGGGGACCGUGCAUGGUAGGCAGUUUGACUGGGGCGGUCUCCUCCCAAAGCGUAACGGAGGAGUUCGAAGGUUACCUAGGUCCGGUCGGAAAUCGGACUGAUAGUGCAAUGGCAAAAGGUAGCUUAACUGCGAGACCGACAAGUCGGGCAGGUGCGAAAGCAGGACAUAGUGAUCCGGUGGUUCUGUAUGGAAGGGCCAUCGCUCAACGGAUAAAAGGUACUCCGGGGAUAACAGGCUGAUUCCGCCCAAGAGUUCAUAUCGACGGCGGAGUUUGGCACCUCGAUGUCGGCUCAUCACAUCCUGGGGCUGUAGUCGGUCCCAAGGGUAUGGCUGUUCGCCAUUUAAAGUGGUACGUGAGCUGGGUUUAAAACGUCGUGAGACAGUUUGGUCCCUAUCUGCAGUGGGCGUUGGAAGUUUGACGGGGGCUGCUCCUAGUACGAGAGGACCGGAGUGGACGAACCUCUGGUGUACCGGUUGUAACGCCAGUUGCAUAGCCGGGUAGCUAAGUUCGGAAGAGAUAAGCGCUGAAAGCAUCUAAGCGCGAAACUCGCCUGAAGAUGAGACUUCCCUUGCGGUUUAACCGCACUAAAGGGUCGUUCGAGACCAGGACGUUGAUAGGUGGGGUGUGGAAGCGCGGUAACGCGUGAAGCUAACCCAUACUAAUUGCCCGUGAGGCUUGACUCU
rnacentral:rRNA from 1 species